GCCGGUGUGGCUCAGUGGUAGAGCCUUGGCCUGCACAUCCAAGGGUAGCAGGUUCAAUUGCCAGUCAAGGGCA
rnacentral:tRNA from 1 species